UUACUCCAUCCACGCACGCGAAAAAGACUAGCGACCCCAGCGCCGUGUAAAAAUAUCCCCCGCCCGCCGCUCCCCGGCUGGAUCUCCUCCGCCGCCGGGCUACCGAGCCGAGCUCCAGCCAUCGCGCGCAUCCUAGAUUCUGGUACGCUACCUCGAGGAAUCCCGCAGAGAGCCCCCACGACCACGAGUAGCACCAUCCCCGAACUUCCUCGGUCGUUCCAGCCGGAGCCCGCGGUGGUCAUUACCCCGCGUCCGACUCCACGCAGGCGAGCUGGACGCACGGGCCUAGUCUCUGCGCGGAUCUGCGCGCCCGUUUCCCUCCGCCACACGACCAUGAAUGCGGCGCCAUCUUGUUCAAGACCUCACCUCGAUGAGAAACCGCAGCACCAACUGGUCACAAGCAAACCGACGGUAAUACGCUGCUCGAUUGACAAGUGACAUAAUCUAGGCGACAGGCGAAGAGAGACAGCGAAAAUUAACAACACAAGGGAAGAUGGCAAAUCUAGGUGAGUGUAUUAAUUAGCUUGUGUCAGAUGGUGUACAGAUAUAUGGGGAUAAUGGUAGUUCAAGCCUGGUGAACCUUCUCAAAUAAUAAUGUAAGCCUGAUAUUAUUGGAUUCAUUUCACUCUGCAAUCAGUUACUGGUAAUGCAUAUCAGAUGGUACUGCAUCUGAUGCUUUUACUCAUUUCCUUUGGUGGAUGCAAGCUUUUUUCAUGUUUAUGAUCUGUAUUUUGGUCACCAGACUAUUUCUCCAUUGUCCGAUUUUGUUUCCCAAAAGUAGUUUCUGUUGCAAACUGUUUUGAUGUUAUUUGGUAAAUACCAAAGUAUUACCAAACUUAUCUAUUCUACCUCCACCAAAGUACAGUUUUCUUCUUUUACUGAUAUGAUAUAUAAAAAAGCGAAGAUGGCUUGGCUUGUACUCAUGGUUCAGGAUAUUAGGGUAAGGCUCCCGGACAGCCUCACCAUCAUGAUGAAAGACGUGACACUUGUAGUUAUCUUCAUGUGGCAUUUCUGGAUGGUCAAACAAAACAAAACUGGGGUGACGCAGUAUAACGCGAAGGGUUCCUGCUCACUGCAGGAGCCACAACCUCGCAGACGUGAAGGAGGGUGCUAGCAUCUCUACUGUUACGCGCCUCAGGGAGCUGUGAGGUAUGUUGAUUCAUGCCCAUAAUCUGCUGUGUUCUGCUGCCCGUAGGUCAUAGUGAUUGAUACAUAUUCAUGGUCUAAUGUACUCUGCUUCUGAUUUCGUUUUUUCCCUAAUUCUCUACAAUACCAUAUUUAGUAUGGGCUUGGACACAACAGAUGCAACGUACGUGCUUUGCUAUAGUACUCUUCUAUAUAUGCCUUCACAUUCUCUUGAAAAUGAAUUUGAAAUGCAUUAUAUAAUCCAUAUCAUAGAUGAUAAUUUAUAGACAUGAAAGCUCAGCCCACAAAUUAAUUUGCAUGUCUCUGUCAUUGCUACUAUUUUCAUGCAGCAUACAGAUAAACAACUUGAUCAUCUUUGAAACUGCGACAUCUUAUUCCUAGAGCUGAUGCUUGGUGGCUGUACACUACCAUGAAAUCUGUGGACGUUGAUAAUAUGAACUAACUAUUUACUGCAGACGGCUUUGCACACAGAAGCUACCAUCUUUACCCCCCUAAAUUCUUUUGCUUUUUAAAAGCAUCACAAAUAUUGAUUGUACAAGACGAUGCUUUUUAACUUCUAUGAGAGAAUAUAUUCAUCUUUGUGUAUUUA